AUGGGGGGCGGCCCUGGGCCCUUUGCGAUCUCCGGACUUUCGGACUUAGAGAAAUUAGAGCAUCCGAUUCUCCGGACUUUUGGACUUAGAAAAAUUAGGACAUCCUCUCUCCAACACGCUACAGAGAUGCGUGUCGUAGCCCAUCGGGGCAAAGAAGACUACUGGCUGUGGGACCAUUUGAUGAGAAUAUCCUGGCUGUGGGACCAUUUGAUGAGAAUAUCCUGGCUGUGGGACCAUUUGAUGAGACCGACCCUCCGUGCCCGAGGAGAGAUAGAGCUACCGUCGACACCGGGGAAGCGUAGUGUAGAGAGGAGAGAUAGGGAUUCCCUCUCUUUUCCUCUGUCAACACCGGCGUGGAACGCCAGCGCUGCUCACUUCUCGACGAUACGGAGCGGCCCGUAUCAGAUAGGGGCCAUCAACAUUCAACAACAUUCCAGCGCAGCUCGCCCUCCCCAAUCUGAAUCAGUGCGGGGGCCGACGGCAGGGGAACAACGGCCUUUCUCUUCACACAGCUGAGGGGAGUGUUGGACGUAGUGUAGAGAGGAGAGAUAGGGAUUCCCUCUCUUUUCCUCUGUCAACACCGGCGUGGAACGCCAGCGCUGCUCACUUCUCGACGAUACGGAGCGGCCCGUAUCAGAUAGGGGCCAUCAACAUUCAACAACAUUCCAGCGCAGCUCACCCUCCCCAAUCUGAAUCAGUGCGGGGGCCGACGGCAGGGGAACAACGGCCUUUCUCUUCACACAGCUGAGGGGAGUGUUGGAUGUAGUGUAGAGAG
rnacentral:lncRNA from 1 species